rnacentral:rRNA from 1 species
UACGUAGGGUGCGAGCGUUAAUCGGAAUUACUGGGCGUAAAGCGUGCGCAGGCGGCUAUUUAAGCUUGCUGUGAAAGCCCCGGGCUUAACCUGGGAACUGCAGUGAGGACUGGAUGGCUGGAGUGUGGCAGAGGGGGGUGGAAUUCCACGUGUAGCAGUGAAAUGCGUAGAGAUGUGGAGGAACACCGAUGGCGAAGGCAGCCCCCUGGGCUAACACUGACGCUCAGGCACGAAAGCGUGGGGAGCAAACGGG